UACGGGCGUAUUCUCGCCUCCGGCCCCC
rnacentral:sRNA from 1 species